UUUUUUUAACACCUUAUUGAACAUCCAGCCAGAAAAUGUACAAUUGGCAAACUACCCCCUAGAGAAUAACACGCUUGUACGACCAGACCCAUAUGAGAAACAAAGCAUGACCGGCACCCCAGAGGCACUCCUUACGCUCCUUCCAUUUCCCACCUCCCUCCCAGGCUAACCACUAUCCUGACUUUUCUCAUCACAGAUUGUGUUAUUUUUGUAGCGUUUUUUCAACUGGACUCUGCAUUGUGCAUUAUUUUGUAUCUGGCUGCUUUCACCCCAUGUUAGAGUUGUGAGACUCAUCCGUGUUGUUCUCUCCUUUUCCUCUUGAUAAAUCGUAUUCCAUUAUUUACCCAUCCUCCUCCUGAUGGAUCUUUGGGCUGUGUUGGCUAUGGAGAAUAACACUGCCAUGAAUACUCCUGAACACAUCUUUCAAGGAAUAUAUUUGUACACUUUUUUUUUUCUUUUUUCAAGACGGAGUCACGCUCUGUCACCCAGGCUAGAGUACAGUGGCGUGAUCUCGGCUCACUACAACCUCAACCUCCCAGGUUCAAACGAUCCUCCUGCCUCAGCCUCCUGCCUCAGGCCUGGGAUUACAGGCCUGCAUCAUGAUGCCCAACUAAUUUUUGUAUUUUUAAUAGAAGACAGGUUUUCGCCAUGUUGGCCAGGCUGGUCUCAAACUCCUGACCUCAAAUGAUCCACCCACCUCGGCCUCCCAAAGUGCUGGGGUUAACAGGCAUAAGCCACCACGUCCAGCUGAUAUUUGUACACUUCUGGUGAGUGUAGACCGCCAGUGAAAUUCUUGGGUCAUAAGGUUUGCACAAAAAGCAGCUCUUUUGAGGAACUGAAAGGAACAGGUGGCUUGAAAGAGGAGCGGGGAGCUAAUGAGAUGAGGGGUCAAAAUUUCUCAAGCCCUGUGAACACGGCAAGGAGGCUGAUUUUCAAGAGAUGUGCAGGGGGAGGCCAGGGAGUGACAUGCUCCAAUGACAUUUUAAGAUCACCCUGGAGAGUGAGGUUGGAGACCACCAUGGGGGACAAGGAAACAGAUGAAGCCAAGAACCCUCCCAAGCUAAGCCCCAAUUCUUGGGCUCACCUGUCUUGCAUCACAGCCCACUUUCAAGGGAGGAGAAAAGAGAUUCUCCUGUUUCAUGUGAGGAGCAGCAUGCCCCUGUGGGAAGGGAAGAGUUGGUGGGGGUCUUCUUUGGAUGACACUGGCUACCAAGGAUGGAUUUGGACUUAUUGCUGGCUUGGAUAAAGGCUUUUUGUUUGUUUUUGCUUUGUUUUGGAAUCUACAUGUUGAAAUCAAUUUGAACAGCAGGAAACAUACAUACUUUUCCAGCACAGCCACAGUGUUUGGGAUGCUCAGGGGUCAGAGGCAGAAAUGUCCCCAGCAUUUCACACACACAGAAGAAAGCUUUCUGCAAAGGGCAAUGGAGAGACUUUUUGCUCCUGGCCUAAUAGGGAAAACUUGCCCCUUGUGAUCUUGUUUACCUAAGACCAACAAUUGCCUGAAAGUAUUUCUUAGUGAAUUUCUAACUUGAACUAUUCUCCUCAAAGGCUGCUGCUGCAGAGCAGAAAGAUCAGACUUGGUUUCCGCAAAACACCUGGACUCCAGUUACUUCUUGGCUAACCUAAUGACUUAUGUGACCUUGGGGACAUUACUGAACUUUUUUGUCCUUUGUUUCCUCAUCAAUAAAAUCAGGAUGAUAACCGUA